rnacentral:rRNA from 1 species
UACGUAGGAGGCAAGCGUUGUCCGGAGUUACUGGGCGUAAAGCGUGUGUAGGCGGUUGGCUGCGUCCGGUGUGAAAUCGUCCCGGCUUACCUGGGAGGGGCAUCGGAUACGAGCGGACUUGAGGCAUCAGAGGCCAGUAGAACUCCCGGUGGUCCAGUCGAAAUGGUAGAGAUCGGGAAGAAUACCAGUGGUGCGAGACGGCUGGCUGGGUGUACCUGACGCUGAGACACGAAGCAUGGGAGCAAACAGG